UACGAAGGGGGCUAGCGUUGCUCGGAAUCACUGGGCGUAAAGGGCGCGUAGGCGGCCUUCUAAGUCAGACGUGAAAUCCCCCGGCUUAACCUGGGAACUGCGUCUGAUACUGGGAGGCUUGAGUAUGGGAGAGGGAUGUAGAAUUCCAGGUGUAGCGGUGAAAUGCGUAGAUAUCUGGAGGAAUACCGGUGGCGAAGGCGGCAUCCUGGACCAUUACUGACGCUGAGGCGCGAAAGCUAGGGGAGCAAACGGG
rnacentral:rRNA from 1 species